rnacentral:lncRNA from 1 species
GAAAACCCUGAUUGGCUUGCCUGUCUUUUUAGCUAAGUAUUAUUUAUUUCUAUUAAAGGAAGGCCAAUUCUAGGCUGAGCUUUGCUAACCUGGUUGCUGUGAAAAAAUAAUAGUACUGUAUACUGCUUUUGUACAGUUGUACUGAACACUUUCUUUAAGAGCAUGUAACCAAUUACAUGUCAAUAUAAAUUAGGGAGUUUUUUUUUUUAAGAGUUGUUUUUAUUUCUGCUGAUUCUUUUGAAAUCAGUUUCACCUACAUAAAUUUCAUAUUAAAUUAAGAUCACAUUCCCAGAUUCAAUUUGAAUGUGAAAGUUACUUAAUUUGAUUCAGUGAAUAUUCUAGUAUUUCCUAACAUGACCUACUAAAUAAUUCUCAAGUUAUGGUUAUUAAAUAUCAACAAUAUUAGUUUAUGAAGGGGGGUAUGUCUUAAUCCUUUCAUUGCAGCUUUCAAAACGUAUUUGCCUUUCCUAGGUUCAGUAUUUCUGGAGAAACAUUAAAGAAAAAUUCACUUUUUAUCUUACUUUAUUCUCCAUCUUAGUUUCAUUUUUAAAUCAUUGUCAAACAUUUUGGCUUAGGUGUGAAAACUUUAGAACAAAAACAAGUUUAGAGCUUUUGCACAGGUAUCAGUUUUUAAUUUAAAAAUCAUCUUUAUAUUAUAAAAGUAUUACCAACAUUUAUCUUUUAAGAUGUAUUUCCGUAUGCACUGUGUAUGUUUGUGCUGUAGGUCAAUCUGAACAGCUGUAUUCAACCACAACUUUCUUUUCUUUUUUCAACAUUUCAUAAUCUUCUGUUCCCUCAAGAAGGUUGAGAAAUUCUGGAAGGAAAAACUCUUAGUGGCAUGUUUAUACUACUUUUAUAUUGUAUAAAGAAAUUAACUUCUCACUAGCCAAGUACUGGACUGCAGUCAGUACUGAAGUAUAUAGGAGAGAGAGGGGAACUACUGUUAAAGAAUGACAGGGCUUUGACCAAGAGUAAAACUAAGAAGAGGAAAAAUGCGAUGCAAGAGUGCCCCAAUGAUAGAAAUCCAAAUGGGUGGUUUGGGAGUAUAAAGCAACUUAAGAGUGAGGCUUUCUGAGAAAAGACUGUGUUAAAAAGUGUGAAACUGUAAAGCCAUCAAGCCCUAAACUAAUCAAUUUGUUGUUUCUUCUCUAAAGGAAGAAUAGUAAUGAAAGGGACUUGGUCAGCUUGAUGUCUUAAUUAGAGAGAGCUAGACUAGCUUAGAGUUUAGCACUUAGCACUGUCUUGGAAGGAGCAAACCUAUGUUAAUUAACCACCUCUCAGCUGUACUUAGACCAUUGACUUUCCUUUGUUUGAUGUUUUGCUACUGAGUUAUUAGUCCCUGAAAAUUAAUAUCGUCUACUGUAAAUUAACAGACAUAAUUUUAGUUCAAGGGGGAAAGAAGUGGGGUGGACUGGGAGUUUGGGGUUAGUAAAUGCAAACUAUUACAUUUAAAAUAGAUAAACAAUAAGGUCCUACUGCAUAGCACAGGGAGCUAUAUCCGAUCUUCUGGUUCAGACCAUGAUGGAAAAUAAUAUUUAAAAAAAGAAUGUAUGUAUGUAUGUGCGUAUGUAUAUACUGACUAAGUCACUUUCCUGUACAGUUGAAAUUGGCACAAAUCAACCAUACUUUAGUAAAAAAUAAAAAAAUAAUUUUAGUUCAAAAAUCUUUUUUUAGGAGAGAUGGUGUAGUGUAAUGACGAAGAGUGUAAGUGUCACGGAGUGUGACAGAGUGGGGUUUGAAGCUUGGCUCCACUAUUAAAGAGCUGACUACUUUUAACCAAGUUUUGAAUCUCCUGGUACUUCAGCUUGCUCAUCUGCAAAAUGUGAUUUAAUAAUAGUACCUUGUCUCAGAUGUUAGUAUUGGAUGAGUUAAACCAAGUAUGUAACAUUGCAUACUGUCUAGCACACACAGAGUGUUCAAUAAAUGUUAGCUGUUAGUAAUAGGAGGAGAAGGAGCAGCAGCAGUUUGAUUAACCUUUGCAGUUGCUAAAAAUUUGAUAUGAGUUGGGCACUUGACAAAAUUAAAGUUUCUGCAAAGCUGAGGACUAGACUCUGGAACAUGGUUGUGAUCAGCUUUGGACAUGCCUGAGAUAUCUUUGUCUCUUUACUCAGUGAUUUCAGUAUGGGAAAUUGCCACUUUUCUUUUUUGACCCAAUCCACAUAGAGGAAAAUAUUCUGGCACAUGUAACAUGCAAAUACUUAGAAAUUGUCUUCAUGAAAAGUAAAUUUCCACGAACCCCAAAAUCAAAUUCUGAAACUUUCUUAAGGGUUCUAUGCAAAAGUAUUUGCCUAUAGACCAACUAGUAUUCAUGAGGAUGCAGGUUGGAUCCUUGGCCCCUCUCAGUGGAUUAAGGAUGGGGCUCAGAUCUGGCGUUGCUGCAGAUGUGGUGUAGGCCAGCAGCUACAGCUCUGAUUCAACCCCAAGCCUGGGAACUGUCAUGUGCCUCCCCUAUG